rnacentral:rRNA from 1 species
GACGAACGCUGGCGGCGUGCCUGACACAUGCAAGUCGGACGGUUCUUGUACCUUCAAGCUUGCUUGUUGGUGCAAGGAUAGUGGCGGACGGGUGAGUAACGCGUGAACAUCUACCCAUUGGAGGGGGACAACCCGUCGAAAGGCGGGCUAAUACCGCGUAAGCCGCGAGGUGAGAGGCUGCCUAUUGGUGGCCGCCGAUGGAUGGGUUCGCGUCCUAUCAGCUGGUUGGUGGGGUAACGGCCUACCAAGGCGAAGACGGGUAGCCGGUCUGAGAGGAUGGCCGGCCACACUGGAACUGAGACACGGUCCAGACUCCUACGGGAGGCAGCAGUGGGGAAUAUUGCGCAAUGGGGGAAACCCUGACGCAGCGACGCCGCGUGAGCGAAGAAGGCCUUAGGGUCGUAAAGCUCUGUUGUAAGGGACGAAUGUUUAUCUGACGAACAGUCAGAUAAAGUGACGGUACCUUACCAGCAAGCCCCGGCUAACUACGUG